rnacentral:rRNA from 1 species
AAUUUGAAAUCUGGCCCUCCUGGGGUCCGAGUUGUAAUUUGUAGAGAGUGCUUCGGGGGAGACCGCGGUCUAAGUCCAUUGGAACAUGGCGUCCCAGAGGGUGAGAAUCCCGUAUGUGACCGUGGCUCGAGCCCAUGUGAAGCCUCUUCGACGAGUCGAGUUGUUUGGGAAUGCAGCUCUAAAUGGGUGGUAAAUUUCAUCUAAAGCUAAAUACUGGCUGGAGACCGAUAGCGCACAAGUAGAGUGAUCGAAAGAUGAAAAGCACUUUGGAAAGAGAGUUAAACAGUACGUGAAAUUGUUGAAAGGGAAGCGCUUGCAACCAGACCUGCCCGUAGGCGAUCAACCGCUGUUCUCAGCGGUGCACUCGUUCUGCGAUCAGGCCAGCAUCGGUUCUGGCGGUCAGAUAAAGGCCUUGGGAAUGUAGCUUCCCUUCGGGGGAGUCUUAUAGCCCUCGGUGCAAUGCGGCCAGCCGGGACCGAGGACCGCGCUUCGGCUAGGAUGCUGGCGUAAUGGUUGUAAGCGACCC